UACGUAGGGACCAAGCGUUGUUCGGAAUUACUGGGCGUAAAGGGCGCGUAGGCGGCCUGUUAAGUCGAACGUGAAAUCCCCGGGCUCAACCCGGGAACUGCGUCCGAAACUGGCAGGCUUGAAUCCGGGAGAGGGAUGUGGAAUUCCAGGUGUAGCGGUGAAAUGCGUAGAUAUCUGGAGGAACAUCGGUGGCGAAGGCGACAUCCUGGACCGGUAUUGACGCUGAGGCGCGAAAGCGUGGGGAGCAAACAGG
rnacentral:rRNA from 1 species